GACGAACGCUGGCGGCGUGCCUAAUACAUGCAAGUCGAGCGGUCCCUUCGGGGAUAGCGGCGGACGGGUGAGUAACACGUAGGCAACCUGCCUGUAAGACCGGAAUAACUAUGGGAAACGAUAGCUAAGACCGGAUAGCUGGUUUUCUCGCAUGAGAGAAUCAUGAAACACGGGGCAACCUGUGGCUUACAGAUGGGCCUGCGGCGCAUUAGCUAGUUGGUAGGGUAACGGCCUACCAAGGCGACGAUGCGUAGCCGACCUGAGAGGGUGACCGGCCACACUGGGACUGAGACACGGCCCAGACUCCUACGGGAGGCGGCAGUAGGGAAUCUUCCGCAAUGGACGCAAGUCUGACGGAGCAACGCCGCGUGAGUGAUGAAGGUCUUCGGAUCGUAAAGCUCUGUUGCCCUAGACGAACAGCAAGGAGAGUAACUGCUCUUUGUGUGACGGUAUAGGAGAAGAAAGCCCCGGCUAACUACGUGCCAGCAGCCGCCGUAA
rnacentral:rRNA from 1 species